UACGUAGGGGGCGAGCGUUGUCCGGAUUCAUUGGGCGUAAAGCGCUCGUAGGCGGUUUGGCAAGUCGGGUGUGAAAACUCCAGGCUCAACCUGGAGAUGCCAUCUGAUAUUGCCAUGACUUGAGUCUGGUAGGGGAGCACGGAAUUCCUGGUGUAGCGGUGAAAUGCGCAGAUAUCAGGAGGAACACCGGUGGCGAAGGCGGUGCUCUGGGCCAGUACUGACGCUGAGGAGCGAAAGCGUGGGGAGCAAACAGG
rnacentral:rRNA from 1 species